rnacentral:rRNA from 1 species
UUCCCCUUCGGGGGACAAAGUGACAGGUGGUGCAUGGUUGUCGUCAGCUCGUGUCGUGAGAUGUUGGGUUAAGUCCCGCAACGAGCGCAACCCUUAAGCUUAGUUGCCAUCAUUAAGUUGGGCACUCUAAGUUGACUGCCGGUGACAAACCGGAGGAAGGUGGGGAUGACGUCAAAUCAUCAUGCCCCUUAUGAUUUGGGCUACACACGUGCUACAAUGGACAAUACAAAGGGCAGCGAAACCGCGAGGUCAAGCAAAUCCCAUAAAGUUGUUCUCAGUUCGGAUUGUAGUCUGCAACGCGACUACAUAAAGCUGGAAUCGCUAGUAAUCGUAGAUCAGCAUGCUACGGUGAAUACGUUCCCGGGUCUUGUACACACCGCCCGUCACACCACGAGAGU